GGAUGAACGCUAGCGGCGCGCUUAAUGCAUGCAAGUCGAGCGAUGAGACUCCUACGGGAGCACAUCAGCGGCAGACGGGUGAGUAACACGUAGAUGACGUACCCUCAAGACGGGGAUAACGGAUGGAAACAUGCGCUAAUACCGGAUGACCUUACGAUGUCAGAAUGGUAAGGAAAGCUACGGCGCUUGAGGAGCGGUCUGCGGCCCAUCAGCUAGUUGGUAGGGUAAAGGCCUACCAAGGCGAAGACGGGUAGGGGGUGUGAGAGCACGGCCCCCCACAAUGGGACUGAGACACGGCCCAUACUCCUACGGGAGGCAGCAGCAGGGAAUAUUGCACAAUGGACGGAAGUCUGAUGCAGCGACGCCGCGUGAGUGAAGAAGGCCUUCGGGUUGUAAAACUCUUUUGAGGGGGAAGAGCGAGGACGGUACCCCUGGAAUAAGCGUCGGCUAACUACGUGCCAGCAGCCGCGGUAAGACGUAGGACGCGAGCGUUAUCCGGAUUUACUGGGCGUAAAGCGUCUGUAGGCGGAUGUGUAAGUUGGGCGUGAAAGCUCCGGGCUUAACCCGGAGAGGCCGUUCAAUACUGCAUAACUUGAGGGUGUCAGAGGGGAGCGGAAUUCCCGGUGUAGCGGUAAAAUGCGCAGAGAUCGGGAGGAACACCAGUGGCGGAGGCGGUUCCCUGGGGCACACCUGGCGCUGAGAGACGAAAGCUAGGGGAGCGAACAGGAUUAGAGACCCUGGUAGUCCUAGCCCUAAACGAUGAAUGCUAGGUGUGGGAUCGAAUGGUUCCGUGCCGGAGCGAACGCGAUAAGCAUUCCGCCUGGGGAGUACGGCCGCAAGGUUAAAACUCAAACGAAUUGACGGGGCCCCGCACAAGCAGCGGAGCGUGUGGUUUAAUUCGAUGCUACACGAAGAACCUUACCUGGGUUUGACAUGUAGGUGGUAGUGAAUCGAAAGGUGAACGACCCUUCGGGGAGCUUACACAGGUGCUGCAUGGCUGUCGUCAGCUCGUGCCGUGAGGUGUCGGGUUAAGUCCCGUAACGAGCGCAACCCUUGCUCAUAGUUACAAGUGUCUAGGGGGACUGCCGGCGGAUAGCAGGAGGAAGGUGGGGAUGACGUCAAGUCAGCAUGGCCCUUAUAUCCAGGG
rnacentral:rRNA from 1 species